CCUACGGGAGGCAGCAGUGAGGAAUCUUGCGCAAUGGGGGAAACCCUGACGCAGCGACGCCGCGUGCGGGAAGAAGGCCUUCGGGUCGUAAACCGCUUUUCUGUGGGACGAGGAAGGACGGUACCACAGGAAUAAGUCCCGGCUAACUACGUGCCAGCAGCCGCGGUAAAACGUAGGGGGCGAGCGUUAUCCGGAAUCACUGGGCGUAAAGGGCGUCUAGGCGGCACGUUAAGUCUUGCGUGAAAGCUCCUGGCUCAACUAGGAGAGUGCGUGGGAAACUAGCGAGCUUGAGACGUGGAGGGGUGCACGGAAUUCCCGGUGGAGUGGUGGAAUGCGUUGAGAUCGGGAGGAACACCAGAAGCGAAGGCGGUGCACUGGCCACGGACUGACGCUGAAGCGCGACAGCGUGGGGAGCGAACGGGAUUAGAUACCCCGGUAGUCCACGCCGUAAACGAUGACGACUAGGUGUGUGUAACCGAAGGGUUAUGCGUAUCGCAGCAAACGCGAUAAGUCGUCCGCCUGGGGAGUACGGCCGCAAGCUAAACUCAAAGGAAUUGACGG
rnacentral:rRNA from 1 species